GAUGAACGCUAGCUACAGGCUUAACACAUGCAAGUCGAGGGGCAGCGGGAUUGAAGCUUGCUUCAAUUGCCGGCGACCGGCGCACGGGUGAGUAGCGCGUAUCCAACCUUCCGUACACUCAGGGAUAGCCUUUCGAAAGAAAGAUUAAUACCUGAUGGUAUGAUGAGAUUGCAUGAUAGCAUCAUUAAAGAUUUAUCGGUGUACGAUGGGGAUGCGUUCCAUUAGGUAGUAGGCGGGGUAACGGCCCACCUAGCCAACGAUGGAUAGGGGUUCUGAGAGGAAGGUCCCCCACAUUGGAACUGAGACACGGUCCAGACUCCUACGGGAGGCAGCAGUGGGGAAUAUUGGUCAAUGGACGAGAGUCUGAACCAGCCAAGUAGCGUGAAGGAUGAAGGUCCUACGGAUUGUAAACUUCUUUAUAAGGGAAUAAACCCUCCCACGUGUGGGAGCUUGUAUGUACCUUAUGAAUAAGCAUCGGCUAACUCCGUGCCAG
rnacentral:rRNA from 1 species